AUGCUCACUUCAGCAGCACAUAUACUAAAAUUGGAACAAUACAGAGAAGGUAAGCAUGGCCCUGCUCAAGGAUGACACAUAAAUUUGUGAAGUGUUCUAUAUUAAA